UCGGAUCAGGUAGGAAUACCCGCUGAACUUAAGCAUAUCAAUAAGCGGAGGA
rnacentral:rRNA from 4 species